UAACAGCUGAGCCAAUUUCCACUGCAUAGGGUUGCCAGGUGUCUGGUUUUCAACUGGAAUGCCUGGUCAAAAAGGGACACUGGCGGCUCCAGACAGCACUGCUGAUCAAGCUGUUCAAAUUCCAGUCGGUGGCACAGCAGGGCUAAGGCAGGCUCCUUGUGGCUCCCGGCAGCAGCGGCAUGUCCCGCCUCCGGCUUCUAGGUGUAGGGGCAGCCAGGGGGCUCUGCACGCUGUCCCUACCCCAAGCUCUGGCUCUGUAGCUCCCAUUGGCUGGGAAUGGCCAAUGGGAACUGCAGGGGCGGCACCUGCCGACGGGGCAGCACAUAGAGCACCUGGCCAUGCUUCCGUGUAGGAACCAGAAAGGGGACAUGCCACUGCUUCCGGGAGCGGCUUGAGACUUAUCAAGUGUUAUUCUAUAAGAAGAAAUAUUGGAGGAACUGGCUUUAAGAAGGGCAAAGAUAACUUGUACAAGCUUCCCAGAAGCAGUUGCAGUUUCCAGGAGUGGAGGAUUGGCUACAAGUGUUGUCUUGGUGUGAGAUCUAAGGUGCAAUUGCGCUGGGAAAUGUACCUGUUGGACAAUCAGAGGAGCUACCUCAUUCCUAUGGACCCCAAAGCAGAACUCAACAUAUAUAUUUUAUACUUGUACACUUUAUACAUUGUUUAAAGGAAAACACCUGUGUACUAACAGUAUGUUACAUGUUAACCUAAAACCAUGGGCGGAGACAUUAUGUAAUCUUUAGAAUAUUGGCUACUGUGCUUAUCUUGUCUUGCUGCUAGACCUAUCCAGAGGCUCGGGACCUCCCACCCCGUUGCUUCCCUCCACUCAUGAAGAUUCCAUAUAAUCCGUUGUAAUCAAUUGCUUGGCAGUGUCUCUGAGCCUAAUAAGCAAAGUGACGCUCCUCCAGCACUGUGCGUAA